ensembl:misc_RNA Metazoa_SRP Metazoan signal recognition particle RNA
GCCAGGCGCAGUGGCGCUCUCCUGUAAUCCCAGCUACUCCGAAGGCUGAACCCAGAGGAUCACUUGAGUCCAGGAGUUCUAGGCUGCAGUGGGCUAGGCCGAUCGGGUGUCCGCACUAAGUUCCGCAUCAAUAUGGUGACCUCCCGGGUUUGGGGGAACACCAGGUUGCCUAAGGAAGGGUGAACCAGCUCAGGUCAGAAAUGGAGCAGGUCAAAAUAUGCAUGAAAUGAGAUUAAAAUAAGAAUAUCUAUGAAUUUUGUCAUUACUGUGAUUAUGAUCACUACUUCCAAGGAUUAU